rnacentral:rRNA from 1 species
GAUGAACGCUGGCGGCGUGCCUAAUACAUGCAAGUCGAGCGAACGGACGAGAAGCUUGCUUCUCUGAUGUUAGCGGCGGACGGGUGAGUAACACGUGGAUAACCUACCUAUAAGACUGGGAUAACUUCGGGAAACCGGAGCUAAUACCGGAUAAUAUUUUGAACCGCAUGGUUCAAAAGUGAAAGACGGUCUUGCUGUCACUUAUAGAUGGAUCAGCGCUGCAUUAGCUAGUUGGUAAGGUAACGGGUUACCAAGGCAACGAUGCAUAGCCGACCGGAGAGGGUGAUCGGCCCCACUGGAACUGAGACACGGUCCAGACUCCUACGGGAGGCAGCAGUAGGGAAUCUUCCGCAAUGGGCGAAAGCCUGACGGAGCAACGCCGCGUGAGUGAUGAAGGUCUUCGGAUCGUAAAACUCUGUUAUUAGGGAAGAACAUAUGUGUAAGUAACUGUGCACAUCUUGACGGUACCUAAUCAGAAAGCCACGGCUAACUACGUG